CCUACGGGCGGCAGCAGUGGGGAAUAUUGCACAAUGGGGGAAACCCUGAUGCAGCGACGCCGCGUGAGUGAAGAAGUAUUUCGGUAUGUAAAGCUCUAUCAGCAGGGAAGAAGAAAGACGGUACCUGACUCAGACGCCCCGGCUAACUACGUGCCAGCAGCCGCGGUACUACGGAGGGGGCAAGCGUUAUCCGGAUUUACUGGGUGUAAAGGGAGCGUAGCCGGCUGGGCAAGUCUGAAGUGAAAGCCCAGGGCUCAACCCUGGGACUGCUUUGGAAACUGUGGAGCUAGACUGCUGGAGAGGUAAGUGGAAUGCCUAGUGUAGCGGUGAAAUGCGUAGAUAUUAGGAGGAACACCAGUGGCGAAGGCGGCUUACUGGACAGUAACUGACGUUGAGGCUCGAAAGCGUGGGGAGCAAACAGGAUUAGAUACCCCGGUAGUC
rnacentral:rRNA from 1 species